GCUUCCGUCGUCUAGCGGCAAAGACGCCGGGCUUUCAAUCCGGAGAUGGGAGUUCGAUUCUCCCCGGAAGCA
rnacentral:tRNA from 1 species